AUUGAACGCUGGCGGCAUGCCUUACACAUGCAAGUCGAACGCGAAAGUAGGGGCAACCCUGCGAGUAGAGUGGCGAACGGGUGAGUAAUGCAUCGGAACAUUUCCAGUAGCGGGGGAUAACCUCGAGAAAUCGAGGCUAAUACCGCAUACGUCCUACGGGAGAAAGCGGGGGACCUCAAGGCCUCGCACUAUUGGAGUGGCCGAUGCCGGAUUAGCUAGUUGGCGGGGUAAAAGCCCACCAAGGCGACGAUCCGUAGCUGGUCUGAGAGGAUGAUCAGCCACACUGGGACUGAGACACGGCCCAGACUCCUACGGGAGGCAGCAGGGGGGAAUUUUGGACAAUGGGCGCAAGCCUGAUCCAGCCAUGCCGCGUGAGUGAAGAAGGCCUUCGGGUUGUAAAGCUCUUUCGGCCGGGACGAAAUCGCACCCUUUAAUACGGGGUGUGGAUGACGGUACCGGAAGAAGAAGGACCGGCUAACUACGUGCCAGCAGCCGCCGUAA
rnacentral:rRNA from 1 species